GGACGGCUGACACCUAUGAAUGGACCUCUGGACAGCUCCUCCUGCCAGACCAAGGCCACAGGGACCCAGACAGUGACAGCAGGCAAAGAAGCUGCAUUCUGGCCCGGGACUCUUGGAGUACUCACCAGCCAUGAGGGACGAAGGCUGAGAUGCAACGUGAAACAUGGACAUAAAUGUGGUUGUUUUGUAUAACCCCCCAAAUAACUGGGGGAGAUGCUACCUCUCUCCAUAGUUUUUUUACUUGGUGACACGCAGCAUAUAUAUGAGAAUGAAGGAAGGAUCUUGAAGAUCAUGGUUCCCACACAAAUUACAAGCACCAUCGUUAAUGCGUGGUUACAGUAAAGAGUCCUAUCCAGUUUCUCAACUGCCAACCCCCACCCCUCGUAUGAGGACUAUGAGACAUCAUAACCUGCAGGUAGAGUUCAGUAUUCAACAAAAUGAGCAGCUGUCAUCCUGGCUGUCACCUGGUGAACCAGAGGCUGGUGUUUCCUACUUAAGGACAUCUAUCUAGCCCGGACCGACAGCCAGAGUGCCAGCGUCUACUGCAGAGGCCGCACGGCAACUCAAGAAUGUUUUCUCACUUUGCUGCCCCAUCGAGGUCACAGGUCUUGAUGGAAUGUGAAACUGCAGUUUUCUCGGUGCUCGCUAGCUCAGCAGCCAUGGCGAUGGUUUCCUAAAUACAUUUGGAAGAUGAGUGGAACACUCUUUGGGAGCAUUUUACCAACAGAUAAAAUACAUUAGCCAUGUGGAAAAUGAGCAAACUGGUAUCUGAAUCAGGGAUCCAUGUGCAGGCUCUGAGCGAUCUAAUGGAGAAGACCACUGUGCCUCUGCCCAGAGUGGCCCCAAGCUCGAGAGUCACGCAAGAACACACAGGUAGGGUGGCCACACGCAGCACGGUGAGUGAGGGACGCCGAGGGUGACUCCACAAGUCUUUGGAGGGAUUUCAAUCAAGGGAUUUCUUCUUCUCUACAGCGGGCAGAUGAGAGGCAGAAUUCAAAGCACUUGUCCAUUUAAAGAGUGAAUGUAAGAUUUUAGUAAUACACAAAAGCAACUUCACUUUUAGGCCCCAAACCAGAGCUUGUAACAAAAUACCCAAUGCUACAUUAAGGUUGAAUUCAGGGAGGAGAUUUAAGCCAUUGAUAAAGGCCUGUGCCUGUGCUUUCUAGUUCCCCUACAACUUUUGAAGGAAAUGAGUUGUUUGGGGGCCGUAAAGCCAAGUUUUUUAA
rnacentral:lncRNA from 1 species